GUGUUGAUCAGUGGCUGUCCAGGCCUUUCAGAGCCACUGACACACCAGCAGCACAAUGAUGAUGUCUCUGACUCUACUGCUGGCCACCCUGGGGUUCCUUGUUCAGGGUUCAUCAGGAGACAUCAUCCUGACUCAGUCUCCUGGAGCUCAGUCUGUUGUUCUGGGACAGACUGUCUCUAUCAGAUGUAAAGUCAGUUCACAUGUUGGCAGUGAGGUAGACUGGUACCUUCUGAAACCUGGAGAAGCUCCUAAACUCCUGAUUUAUUAUGCUACAAACCGUCAGUCUGGAGUUUCAGAUCGUUUCAGUGGAAGUGGAUCUGGUACUGACUUCACUCUGACCAUCAGUAGAGUCCAGACUGAAGAUGCAGGAGUUUAUUACUGUCAGCAGGAUUACAGCACCCCGUUCACACAGUGAUACAACGUCGUACAAAAACCUCCCUCAGCUGCAGAGGAACUGAUCUGACUCAACAGCUGCACAGUAAUAGACACACUUUAGAAGUUUGACUGACAAUCAAGUUAAUAUAACAGAAAAAUAUCAGGAAAUAUUAUUUAUCAUCUAUUAAGUUA